AACUUUGAUGAGACACUUGUUAUCCUAUAUAUGUAGUUCAAUUUUGAUUCGAUGCUAUAAUCCAGCCUCCCUAAGUAGGAAAAAAAAAAAAAAAAAUUGACUCCCCUGGUAGAUAUAAAGCUAGUUUGUCUACUAUGAAUGGAGCAAUCCUGGUACGUCCAUCCUCACAAGUCUAUGUGUUACAUUGGGAUUACAAACAAGAACGAUAAAGACCCUGACGUUCUGAUCCCAGGAAUGAGAUGCAGAUCAUGUUGAAUGAGGACAAGGCCUCUCACAAGAAUCCCAUUCACAAAAACAUUAAAGAAUUGAGAAGAUUCCCAAUAUAUCAUAAUGUAUUGCCAAUAGUACUUGGAGUAAGGUAUCUUAAAUCUAUGUUGAAGAGAUUCUCAAAAAAAAAAAAUCUAUGUUGAAGUGAAAAGCCGUAUAUAUUACUUAGUAUAUAAUAACCAAAGAGAGAGACCAUUCCCUACACAACUUGCUCAUUCCUUUUUAGCUAUUGAGAAAAAGAGAGAGAGAGAGAGAGAGAGUGGGGAAAUAUAGAACAGGGUGGUGAGGAGUAUAAUUAAGGAGCUCCUUUUAGUCCAAUAGUGAAGGCUGAGGAGUGGCUAGAGCUGCCAUCUCAUGCGUUAGGCUACCCUCAAAUGUUUUCUCAAGACUCAGCUAGGUGGAGAAAGAUGAACACACAGAAAUCAAAACGUUUAGUGUUGGCCUUUUGCAUGGUGUGGGAGCAACUCCUUCCGCGUGCUUAGCCUGCCCAUUGGACUGAAGGGAGCUCCCUAUUCAAUCACAUUUGCAUCAUAUAUAUUCGAAUUUUGCAUUAUUAAAUAUUAUGCCAAUUAUUUUCCUGGUUUAUUAGUAGUAGAUCGAUCAAAUUAAUACCAAUAUAAGGGUUGGAAUUGUGGUUAGUCUUAUCCUAUUCUUGGUUUUACUUGCAUAUUAUUUCAAAGUUUUGUGCUUUGACAGGGUAGGAUAUAAAGGAGAGUUGAUGAUGCCAGUACCGUAGGGACAGUUGAGGCCACAAGAACUGAAGUACAAGAUGCUUUAAGAAGCUCAAGAACUGCAAGUCUUCCCACCAUUUUUUAAUGGUGAAGUAAACAAUAACAGCUAGCCUUAACCCCAAGUGUCAAAGAUAUUGGAGUGAGAGAGACCACUCUCCCAACGCUGCUUCCUAGUUCCUACACUUUUUAACUGUGAGGGAUUAUGAUAAAGUUUCUUCAUUCUUGUUUUGUUUUUAGCUUUUUUUUCUCCACUUUUGCCUUUGUUCUGAUGGGUUUUCUUCUUUUGGUGGUGGAGAACGGAGCAAUACAACUCUGAUAGACUUCAAAUGUAAGAGAAACAACGAUAUUGUGAUCCACUUCAACAGUAUCCGUUAGCACCAUUGUAUUUUUCACUCACCGAAGAGGCAAAGCAAGAUGCAAGUAAUGCAAGAAGCUGUGAGAAAUGACGAAGCAUACAUAGCGGACAUAGGAAGAAACUACCAAAAAGAGAGGACUAAACUUAUAGAAGAACAGAACCGAUGGUGCUGAUGCCGGUUCAGUGUUAAAAUCAGCGAAAUUGGGAUACAAAUUUGUAUUGUGCAAAGGGUAUGCUUUAAAUCUAAUCAGCCCACAUCAAAAUUUCUCAGUGCAAUCACACUAGGCCAUUGAAAAUAUCACUAUUGAAAUUAUAUCUGUCAUAAACUCUUUUGCAGGGUGGAGUGUUAAUCACACCAUACCUUUAAAGAAGCUAAUUUUUUUGUCCACAAUAUAGCUAAAUGGCCUUUUUUGUGUAACUAUGAGGGAUCCCUACUCUUGUUUUUUCCCCCAAGAGAGAUGGAGCCAAGUCCCUCCUUUCAUAAUAUCCUUUUGUAUUCUAAUA